AUAAAUAAAUUUUUAUAGUUUGGGGGAUUUAUAAUAAAUUUGUUUUACAUGUAAAUUUUAGUGUUAGUUUUUAUUUAUUUUAAUAAUAUUUAUUACUGGGGGGGUAGUAAUUAAUAUUAAAAAUUUAAGAAAUUAAGAUUUAGCAAUAUUUAAAUUAUUAACAAAUUUUGUGCCAGCAGUUGCGGUUAUACAAAAAUUAAAAUAAAUUUUAUUAGUUGAAUUAAUUAAUAAUAAUUAUAAAUUUAAUUAAAAUUUUAAAUUAUUAGGUGAAAUUUUAAUUUAAUAAAAAUUUAUAAAAUAAUUAUGAUUUAAUAAAUUUUUAUAAUAAACUAGGAUUAGAUACCCUAUUAUUAAAAAUUUAAAUUAAAAAUACUAAAAUAGUAAAUAAUUAUUUAUUUAAACUUAAAUAAUUUGGCGGUAUUUUAGUUCAUUUAGAGGAAUCUGUUUAUUAAUUGAUAAUCCACGAAUAAAUUUACUUAAUUUAUAAAUUUGUAUAUCGUUGUUAAAAAAAUAUUUUUAAAUGAUAAUUAAUAUUUUAAAAUUUAAAUUUAAAAUUAAAUCAGAUCAAGAUGCAGUUUAUAAUUAAGAAUAUAAUGGAUUACAAUAAAUUUAUUUAAAUGAAUAUUAAUUUGUAAAAAUUAAUUGAAGGUGGAUUUAAAUGUAAUUUUAUUUAUUUUUAAAAAAUGAUUUAAAAUUAAAAUAUGUACAUAUUGCCCGUCGCUUUCAUUAAUAAAUUGAAAUAAGUCGUAACAAAGUAGAGGUACUGGAAAGUGUUUCUAGAAAGAU
rnacentral:ncRNA from 1 species